AUACUUACCUGGCAAGGGAGACACCGUGAUCACCAAGGCGGUUCACCCAGGGCGAGGCUCGGCCAUUGCACUCCGGCUGUGCUGACCCCUGCGAAUUUCCCAAAUGUGGAAAUCUCGAUUGCAUAAUUUCUGGUAGUGGGGGACUGCGUUCGCGCUCUCCCCUC
ensembl:snRNA U1 U1 spliceosomal RNA